UACGAAGGGUGCUAGCGUUGUUCGGAAUCACUGGGCGUAAAGCGCGCGUAGGCGGCGAUACAAGUCAGAGGUGAAAGCCCGGAGCUUAACUCCGGAAUUGCCUUUGAAACUGCAUUGCUAGAGUGUCGGAGGGGGUAGCGGAAUUGCUAAUGUAGAGGUGAAAUUCGUAGAUAUUAGCAGGAACACCGGUGGCGAAGGCGGCUAUCUGGACGACAACUGACGCUGAGGCGCGAAAGCGCGGGGAUCAAACAGG
rnacentral:rRNA from 1 species